rnacentral:lncRNA from 1 species
CAAGAAUCCAAUUUAAAUUAUGAAUUGUGAUAUUUAUGUUAUGGAUUGAUUAUGUUCAUGUAGUUAUUGUUGUAGGAUUGCCAGGUUGGAAUCUUUAUGUGUUGUUCAUGAAACUACGCUAGUAUGUGGGUUAAAAUUAAUGAAAUUGAGUUGAAUUAGGGAAUCAUGUGGUAUUAAUUUGAUAUGAUGCCUAAGCUCAAAGUUAUGCAUAUUAGGUGUUUGAUAAAAUGCCUAAGAGAAUAAUACUUGUGCAUUAUGAUUCAAUAUAACCUAAAUG